CCUGGAACUUGCUUUGUAGACCAGGCUGGCCUUGAACACACAGAGAUCUGCCUGCUUCUGCCUCCUGAGUGCUGGGAU
rnacentral:miRNA from 1 species